rnacentral:rRNA from 1 species
GCCAAACAUCUAGCUUUCCCCACCCAUAAAUACCCCGCUCACUCAAUAAAUGAUAAAACAUUUUAUUAUUUUAGUAAAGGCGAUUAAAAAAAUUCUAAAAGCUUUAAAUUUAGUACCGCAAGGGAACAAUGAAAUAUUAAUGAAAUAACAUAAAGCACAAAACAGUAGAAGUUAAAACUCGUACCUUUUGCAUCAUGGUCUAGCAAGUCUUAAUCAAGCAAAAAGAAAUUUUAGUUUGAUUUCCCGAAACUAGGUGAGCUACUUCAAAAUAGCCUUUUUGGGCCAACCCGUCUCUGUGGCAAAAGAGUGGGAAAAUUUUCAAGUAGAAGUGAUAGACCUAACGAACCUAGAGAUAGCUGGUUAUUCAAGAAAAGAAUUUUAGUUCACCCUUAAGUCUCUAUAUGAUCACCAACACCCUCAUAGGCUUAAGAGAUAUUCAAAUAAGGCACAGCUUAUUUGAAACAGGAUACAACCUAUACACCAGGGUAAACCAUUGAGAUUAAACUAAGUAGGCCUAAAAGCAGCCACCUUUAAAAAAGCGUUAAAGCUUUAUUUUUCUCUACAAAAAUCUGUUUGACUAUUAUGAACCCGUCAUCACUAUUGAAUAAUUUCAUAAAUUAUGAAAGUUACCAUGCUAGAACUAGUAACAAGAAAAUGUAUUUCUCCAAAUUGUAAGCUUACACCAAAAUGGACUUCCCACUGGUACUCAACGAUUCUGAUUCUAAUAUUUUAACUACUCAAGAAAACUAAAUAAUUUACAUCGUUAACCUUACACUAGAACACUUCUGGAAAGAUUAAAAGGGAGAGAAGGAACUCGGCAAUAUCUAGUCCCGCCUGUUUACCAAAAACAUCGCCUCUUGCACACUAUAAGAGGUCCCGCCUGCCCAGUGAUUAUUUAACGGCCGCGUGAUUUUAAGCGCGCAAAGGUAGCGAAAUCAUUUGUUCUUUAAAUGAGGACCAGUAUCAACGGCACCACGAGGACUUUACUGUCUCCUCUCCCUAAUCAGUGAAACUAAUCCCCCUGUGAAAAAGCAGGGAUAAUACUAUAAGACGAGAAGACCCCAUGGAGCUUUAAACUUUUUGGCAACUUUUAGUAAACCUUCUACCCUUCAAUACCUAAGCCAUGCCCAAUCGUUUUAGGUUGGGGCGACCGCGGAGUAAAACUUAACCUCCAUGACGAAAGGACAUCUCCUAAUCUAAGAAAGACAUUUCUAAGAAUCACUAACCUGAUGUUUUAUGACCCGACUAUCGAUCAACGAACUAAGUUACCCUGGGGAUAACAGCGCAAUCCAUUUUGAAAGCCCCUAUCGACAAAUGGGUUUACGACCUCGA